AGCGAACGCUAGCGGCGGGCUUAACACAUGCAAGUCGAGCGGAGGGUUUCGGCCCUCAGCGGCGAACGGGUGAGUAACACGUGGGUAACGUACCCUUUGGUGGGGAAUAACCUAGGGAAACCUGGGCUAAUACCGCAUACGUCCUACGGGAGAAAGAGGGCCUCUGCUUGCACGCUCUCACUCCAGGAUGAGCCCACGUCCGAUCAGCUAGUUGGUGGGGUAACGCCCACCAAGGCAUCGACGGGUAGCUGGUCUGAGAGGACGAUCAGCCACACUGGGACUGAGACACGGCCCAGACUCCUACGGGAGGCAGCAGUGGGGAAUCUUGCGCAAUGGGCGAAAGCCUGACGCAGCAACGCCGCGUGGGGGAUGAAGGCUUUCGGGUUGUAAACCCUUUCAGCAGGGACGAAUCAAGACGGUACCUGCAGAAGAAGCCCCGGCUAACUACGUG
rnacentral:rRNA from 1 species